UUAAUUACUUGAUAUUUCCUUCUUAUUUGCUAGUCUUAGAAUUUAAUUACCUAUUAUUUCUUUCCUUUUUCUAGCCUUAUUCUCCUCCCUAUUUAGGCCCUCCUAAUAUAGCUGUUGGAGAAUAUUCUAUCAUAAUUCUCUCAUGUAAUCAGCUAUAAGUUCAUGUAAUCAUUCACCUUUUGAUCAAUAAGAAAUAUACAAUUAUUUCUCUAAUAUGGUAUCAGUGAUAUCAUAACAAAUUAACACCCUUUUUUUUUCCCAAUGGCCGAUGAAGAAAAUUCUUCAUCUUCCUCUGAUGAAAACAAUGAUUCAACUACUCAUCACAUCAAAG
rnacentral:lncRNA from 1 species